CGCUGUCCUGUCUGCAGGGGCUGCCUUCCGGGAUUGCCCGCUCUCCUGCGUGCAGGCCCUGCUGGGAGGCUCAGCUGGCCCCGGGGACCGCCUGCCGGGUCUGCCCGCUGUGCUGCCUGCAUGGACCACCAGCCUGAGCUGCCCGCUCUCCUGCCUGCAGGCCCGGCUGGGAGGCUCAGCUGGCCCCGGGGACCGCCUGCCGUGUCGGCCCGCUAACCUGCCUGCAGGGCCCGCCAGCCUGAGCUGCUCGCUGUCCUGCCUGCAGGGCCCGCCUGCCGGGGCUGCCCGCUGUGCAGCCUGCAAGGCCCACCUGCCGGGGUUGCCCUCUAAGCUGCCUACAGUGCCCGCCUGCCGGUGCUGCCCACUGUACAUCUUUCAGGCCCAGCUGGGAGGCUCAGCUGGCACUGGGGCUUGCAUGCCGGGCCUGUCUGCUGUCCUGCCUUCAGAGCUCGCCAGCCUGGGCUGCCCGCGGUCCUGUCUGCAGGGGCCGCCUGCCGGGAUUGCCCGCUCUCCUGCUGGCAGGCCCGGCUGGGAGGCUCAGCUUGUCCCGGGGACCGCCUGCCGGGUCUGCCCGCUGUCCUGCCUGCAUGGACCACCAGCCUGAGCUGCCCGCUGUCCUGCCUGCAGGGCCUGCAGGCCCGGCUGGGAGGCUCAGCUGGCCCCGGGGACCGCCUGCCGGGUCUGCCCGCUCUCCUGCCUGCAGGGCCCGCCAGCCUGAGCUGCUCGCUGUCCUGCCUGCAGGGCCCGCCUGCCGGGGUUGCCCUCUAAGCUGCCUACAGGGCCGGCCUGCCGGGGCUGCCCGCUGUACGUCCUUCAGGCCCAGCUGGGAGGCUCAGCUGGCACUGGGGCCUGCAUGCCGGGCCUGUCUGCUGUCUGGUCUUCGUUUUUGGUUCUCUUCAUUUGGUUUAUAAAUUUGAGUUAAUAUUUGGAGCCAUUUUCUCAACCCAAUACAGCUUUGCUCCCAUGACCUCCUUCGUACUCUUAUUGGUGAACACAUUACAUUUAUAUAUGGUACAGGAAGAAGAAUGCAUUGUAUAUAUGCAGUUUUAUACAACUGCUUUCUACAUCGGUUAAGAGAAGAAAAUAGAAGAAUGUGCACUUAUACUGCCUUUUGUAGUUUCAUAUUUACCUUUUAUGGUGCCCUAUGUUUUUUGUGUGUGAUUUUGAUUUACUGUCUGGGAUCACUUGCUUCCAGCCUGAUGAAUUUCUCUUUUGAUUUCUUAUGAGGCAGAUAUUCCAGCGACAUAUUCUUUCAGUUUUGUUAAUCUGGGUCAACAAGAGGAGCUUAGUACUCCACACAAUGACUUAGGAACCUGUGCUGGUGGUGGCACUGGCAUCUUACAGCUGCUCCAUCUGGAGAAGGUUCCAGGUGAUUCCAGCUCUUCAUAUAGCUGCUGCCUCACAGAAUUAGGAUGAGUAGUGGGAAGAACUGAGUGUGGGAAUGAAGCAGAUGGGACAGAGUCCAAGAACCCAAAAGCAAGGAGGAAGAGACAGUACCGGGGCAUGAAUAGCCUUGGAGGGUUCCUGACGCCAGCCUGCAGUUCCUGGAGCUCCAGCACCUCAUCCACAACAUUUGCGAAUGGACAAGGCAGGAGUGAGGAAGAAAGGUUUCAUCUUCAGAGAAGAGGUAUCAGUAGUGUAGGGGUGAAGGUGAUGGAAGAAACGGUUGUGGAACAAAAGGAAUAGAAAGCUCCCGGCAAGGAUGGAGGCAGCACUGUUUGUUGGACAACUGAAUUGGCCCAGGUGGCCCCUGCACUCUCAGGUACCUGAGACUCCACCCGCCUUGCCUUACUGUCCACAUUUACUCAUGGUGACAACCCCCGCCCCCAAAUUUCAUUUGAAUGACAUGCGCAGGUGCAUUUGCACUGAGAUCUUUAUUCUAGGCCUGGGGCCUUGGAGCAGUGGGCAAUUGCAACACAGGACAGAGAAGAGAGUAUUGUUUGUGUCCCUGUGAUCAGACACAUGCACACACUACACACACACACACACACACACACACACACACACACACAAGGACACGGGCACAGACAUGGGUAGUAAUGAGACCUAUUAAGUAUUUUCCCCUCCAGUAGGCAGAUGUGCAUGAUACAUAAAUUACAAAUAAGAGGAACCUUGUGAACACAUUUCAAAGGCAAGAUGAGUGAAUAUCGGUGACUUGUGGUUUUCAUGUAUUUUAUAAUUCAGUUCUUGGUAUAAAAUAUAUUUUAUAUUCCAACCUCGUAUACACCUAUACACUCUUGAAAAAUCGAAAGAAGAGUUUCACUGAAGAAAACUUAAUUUCACAAGGUGUGAUACUCUCUGAUGUUUUAUUUUACAUCAUAUACUAGUUCAAUUAAAAAAUAAAUUCAUUAAGCUCAUCA
rnacentral:lncRNA from 1 species